rnacentral:rRNA from 1 species
UACGUAGGCAGCAAGCGUUGUUCGGAAUUACUGGGCGUAAAGAGUGUGUAGGCGGCGCGGUAAGUCGGGUGUGAAAUCUCGGAGCUUAACUCCGAAACUGCGUUCGAUACUGCCGUGCUUGAGGACUGGAGAGGAGACUGGAAUUUACGGUGUAGCGGUGAAAUGCGUAGAUAUCGUAAGGAAGACCAGUGGCGAAGGCGGGUCUCUGGACAGUUCCUGACGCUGAGGCACGAAGGCCAGGGGAGCAAACGGG